rnacentral:rRNA from 1 species
GACGAACGCUGGCGGCGUGCUUAACACAUGCAAGUCGAACGGUAAGGCCCUUCGGGGUACACGAGUGGCGAACGGGUGAGUAACACGUGGGUGAUCUGCCCUGCACUUCGGGAUAAGCCUGGGAAACUGGGUCUAAUACCGGAUAGGACUCCGGACUGCAUGGUCUGGGGUGGAAAGCUUUUGCGGUGUGGGAUGGGCCCGCGGCCUAUCAGCUUGUUGGUGGGGUGAUGGCCUACCAAGGCGACGACGGGUAGCCGGCCUGAGAGGGUGACCGGCCACACUGGGACUGAGAUACGGCCCAGACUCCUACGGGAGGCAGCAGUGGGGAAUAUUGCACAAUGGGCGCAAGCCUGGGGCAGCGACGCCGCGUGAGGGAUGACGGCCUUCGGGUUGUAAACCUCUUUCAGCACAGACGAAGCGCAAGUGACGGUAUGUGCAGAAGAAGGACCGGCCAACUACGUGCCAGCAGCCGCCGUAA